rnacentral:sRNA from 1 species
GCUGGGUGCAGUGGCUCAUGCCUGUAAUCCCAGUGGCUCAGGAGGCUGAGGCAGGAGAAUCGCGAGUUCAAAGCCAGCCUCAGCAACAGCAAGGCACUAAGCAACUCAGUGAGACCCAGUCUCUG